GCUCCCAUGGCGCAGUGGUCAACUGCGCUCGCCUUGCACGCGGGAGAUCCGGGUUCGAUUCCCGGCGGGGUCA
rnacentral:tRNA from 1 species